UUUGGGCUUUUUAUUCUUUAUAGGCUUCUAGCUUUAACAAAAAUAUGUAUGUUGACUCUUAGUGUUUUGAAUUAUAUGUGUCGUUCGGUUGCUGUCGUAUUAAGGUAUACAUUUAAAAUAUUUUUCAAAACAAAAGGAUUGAUUGGACAGGAUAUAGAAAUAUUCACAUCUCUGGACUUCUCACGUCCGACAGUAUAUCUUUGCUAUAAUUGGGUGCGGCCGUUUAGCUGCUCGGAUGUAUAAAUUUACAGCCUUUGUCGUUUGUUUAUGUGUUACAUAUUUGUUUUUCGUUCAUUGUUUGACAUAAAUAAGGCCUUUAGUUUUCUCGUUUGAAUUGUUUUACAUUGUCUUAUCGGGGCCUUUUAUAGCUCACUAUGCGGUAUGGGCUUUGCUCAUUGUUGAAGGCCGUACGGUGACCUAUAGUUGUUAAUGUCUGUGUCAUUUUGGUCUUUUGUGGAUAGUUGUCUCAUUGGCAAUCAUACCACAUCUUCUUUUUUAUAUUGUUUAG
rnacentral:lncRNA from 1 species